GCCAGUGUGGUGUAGUGGUUUGAGUGCUGGACUACGAUUGUGGAGAUCAGGGUUCAAUUCCCUGUUUGGUCA